GAUGAACGCUGGCGGUAUGCUUAACACAUGCAAGUCGAACGGACUCUUCGGAGUUAGUGGCGGACGGGUGAGUAACGCGUGAGAAUCUGGCUUUGGGUUCGGGACAACCACUGGAAACGGUGGCUAAUACCGGAUGUGCCGAGAGGUAAAAGAGAAAUGGCCUGAAGAUGAUCUCGCGUCUGAUUAGCUAGUUGGUGAGGUAAAGGCUCACCAAGGCAGCGAUCAGUAGCUGGUCUGAGAGGAUGACCAGCCACACUGGGACUGAGACACGGCCCAGACUCCUACGGGAGGCAGCAGUGGGGAAUUUUCCGCAAUGGGCGAAAGCCUGACGGAGCAAUACCGCGUGAGGGAAGAAGGCUCUUGGGUUGUAAACCUCUUUUCUUAGGGAAGAACAAAAUGACGGUACCUAAGGAAUCAGCAUCGGCUAACUCCGUG
rnacentral:rRNA from 1 species